rnacentral:rRNA from 1 species
AACGAACGCUGGCGGCGUGCCUAACACAUGCAAGUCGAGCGAGAAAGGGGAGCAAUCCCUGAGUAAAGCGGCAGACGGGUGAGUAACACGUGGGUAAUCUGCCCUCGAGCGGGGAAUAACAUCUCGAAAGAGGUGCUAAUACCGCAUAACAUCCAGGGGCCUGAGGGCUUUUGGAUCAAAGGUGGGGAUCUUCGGACCUACCACUCGAGGAGGAGCCCGCGCCUGAUUAGCUAGUUGGUGGGGUAAUGGCCUACCAAGGCGACGAUCAGUAGCCGGCCUGAGAGGGUGAACGGCCACACUGGAACUGAGACACGGUUCCAGACUCCUACGGGAGGCAGCAGUGGGAAUAUUGGACAAUGGGCGCAAGCCUGAUCCAGCCAUGCCGCGUGUGUAGAAGAAGG